GAGAACUUCGGUUUUGCAGCUGGAGUGUACUUGCCCACUUUUGAGCCUUUGAGCAAAUCCUUCUACAGAUUUACACGUUCCAGUUAUGUAGGUAGUGUUCUCAUAUUACGUGUUCUCGUUAUUACGUCUUACUAACGAUCUCGUGGCACAAAGUAAAGAAGCUGCCGUUUUGAGCUAAUUAUCAUGAUUCCUGGAGCUGAUUAGUUACUUUACAUAUAGACAGUCAGGGCUUUUUUUCCUCUUUUUUCCUCCAUACUCUUUUACCUUCUUCUCGCGCAAUUUUUAUGCUGCUUUUUCAAACUUCUAUUCCUUUCUUUCUCUUCAAACUUCUGUUUUCUAAUCACCUUUAUUUUGUGGUUUCACAGUCUGUUACUGUACUGUGUUCCUAAAACAUGCGUGCACAUAUAUACGUGCAUGUCUCUGAGACUGAUCUCUUCAAGGUAAACCGAAGGGUCUCCGAUUUAAGUAAAUUAUCGGCCGUAAUAGAGAUAAGAAGUUUGUCCGAAACAAAGUUAAAUAUCAAAGAUGGGAUAUCCCUUCUAGGACUCACUUCUAUAGUAUUUUCUGAAAAAAAUGCCACCAAAGCUUUUCAUUAGACGUUGUGUGUAUCGUUUAGAAAGAUACUCAGUUAUACUUGUGACUUUCUUGAAAUUCCAUUUAGCUCACUCAAAACUCUUGUGAAGACGAUUGGUCAAUUAGCCUGAUGACAGGAGGGAGACAGUGCGUAUCUGUUAUUCUACCAGUAUAUGUAAAUGUGUUAGGAAUUUUUUCUAAGUAGAGUUGAGGGAUAUAUUGUCAUAAACUGCAAAACCAGACUGUUGGCCAAGAAAAGAGUAGACAGAAUUAAUUUACUUUCUUGUGAUCACUUGAACUUAAUUGAGAGUAGAGGAAGUUUCCUGCAGAAAACUCCACCAAACUCUGAGAUUUGUAGAGAUUCCUUACAUAUCUUGGUAACCACAGGUGAUGGAGAUCCUAAGGGAUGCAGCCUUUAUCCUAUUCCCAUGCAAGAACAAUCCUCUGUGAAAAGUUAUUUUCAUAGUCCGACAACUAAGUCGAGCUCCCACCCGUUUUUAAAUACUAGCUUCAGACUUCUGAAGUUGCUUACAGUUGAUUAUUGACUUCAAAAUACAAAAAUCCGGGAGUCUCAUUGCAGUUCAGAGAUGAUCCAUCAGCAUUAAGUCCUUUCGGGCUGGAAAGAACGAACUAAAUAGGGAGUAAAUAUGAUGUAGCAAGAACUGCAAAGAAUAGUAAUCAAUCAGCAAAAUGGACCGGGCUAUCAAGAGCACCAAUUUUUUUUUUUCCUUAAUAUAAAGGGGUUAUGUUACACAAUCGCUUUCUCUUUUUGCAAAUCGUAAUGUAUUCUAUGGCAGAGGUUAAAUGCUGCGUGGAAGAUAGAAGAGAGUGUCUAGAAAUCAGAACUUACAGUACAGUGAAGGUACUGCUGUGCUCGUGAUAAGUAACCUUGGCUUAGCCACCUGAAUCUGUCUGCACUCUUAAACGUGCUAGUUUAAGUCUUGGAAACGGUCUAACUGUAGUAGCACAGAGUAUCAUAUAGGUUCAUUUAUUCUGUAGUAUACAUUAGCACCUCCUUGCUUUGGUUUUUCUAUCUAUGACUGGGGGGGUCAUGGUAUUUCUUACUUCAGUCAUAAUACUCCAAGAUAUUUUGUGCUUCUCAGAUGAAAAGUACCAUAAAGGCAGAGUAUCAUUUUUUAGGGGCCUAUGCUGGAUAAGAGAGGAAAUAUAGGCAGGACACUGAAAACUGCUAAGAUAAAUCAGAUCGUUAGCUGAGCAAGAAGUGUACCUGCCUGAGACAGAGGUCGUGAGCAGGGGUAAAAGCUAGCAAAGGGCAUAAAGAAUUCAGAUGAAUGACUGAAGUUUGGAAGGAGUGGGUGAGGAAUCGGCAGCCGAGAAGGGCAGUUAGUUUCCAGACUGAUUUGAUUUGGCUUCUAGUUAUACUGUCAGAAAUUGGUUUAAUCCAAAACAGUUUUUAGUUAUUGCUUAGGAGUACCAGUGAAUAGCCUGUCCAGAGUGAAGUAAUACUGUCCCAAGGUCAGGCAGAUGUACCAAGUAGCAAACAUCAAAAUCGUUUCCUUUGUAGCUGGGAAAAAAUGUGGCCGGACUGUCUGUGGAAUGCACAGGUCAGAUAAAACAUGAUGCAGUAUGCUGUGAGAAAACUGAAACUGAAAACUGUGGCAGAAGCCCUCAGACCAUGGAAUAGACUUUUGAGUCGUUCUCUGCUCUUAACUUGUCCCUCCAGUCCAAUUAUCAAAAAACCUUAAUGUUUUUACAAGUAGUGUGCUGAACGUUGUUUACAUGUUAGUAGGUUUAAAAUCAGUGUAGUUAAUGUUAGCGCAUUUGCUUAUUGCAAUGCUCAGCCCAGAUUAAAUUCCUGCAUAUUUACUCACUGCGAACAUCUUUAUUAAUAAUUCACCAGUAGCUGUGCUGGGAUAAUGAAGGGUGAAGAGUGGAACCCGGUCUGGCCUCACGAGGCUUGCCAAAGGGCCUCGGUGAAUAAUAUGCAAGCCAAGACUAGAAUCCACAAGGCCUUGCUUAGCGUGUGCGCUUUGCUUCUUCCCUCUCAUUGACAUCUAAGAUUUUUUAUUGUUAUUAUUGCUUAUGAAUUAUUACUAAAGAAAUCUCAGCAGAGGAUCAGUUAAGCUUCAGUAUACCAAGAGUAUAAAAAGGAGUUUAAAGGAGUACAUUAAAAUUUGUGGAGAAUAGCAUUCGUAAGGAAAGCUGUUGCUUUAAAUGCUGAAAAAGCAGCUGUCAGCAGGUCGUAAUGCUGUGGUCUUUUAUCUUUCUGCCUUAUAUCCCAUUGUGACUUACCCUGUUAAAAUAAAGAUCCCAUAGUGCCAUAAAAUUCUGAGGAGUAUAUUAGAGUGAUCAUGCAGUGUAUGUUACAUUACGUUUUUAGAAUUAGGUCUUUAUUUCUCCCUACAAAAUGAUUCGUCUGAUAAGACGAUAAACAAAUACCACAGAAAUCACAUAGUAUACGCAGCCUUAAGCCCAACAGAGAACCACAGUAGAAAUUCUGUUGCAAAAAUCUGCCUAUUAUCUGCAGAGGCCUCUUGAUAAUUGGGAUUUUCUGAUGGUUCUAGCAUUUUGUUAUCAAGAGAACAGGGAAGUGUACGACAACAGGCCUGUGAUUAUGUAUACUUGCUUAUGUAUACUUCCCCGCAUCUCCUUAGAAGUGAGUUUGUUUCUGGCAGAAAGCCAUUUCUGCUUUGACACAAACUGACCAGCUUUGAUGCCUGUAUGUUAUCGUUUGCCAAUGUAUUACACAGUGAAUGGAAUAACAGAGGGGAGUAGCGAAACAGUCCACCACACACACGCUUCAGCGAUAUGCUCUUUGGAAAACAGUACCAGGAGAUGAUGGAGAGCAGAACCGAGCCUGAUCUAAGUCUGUAGCAGUCAAUGGAAAUGCUCAUACUGACUUAAAUGUCUUUUCCCAAACAACAUAGGGUAAUGAGUCAAGCAGUAUGAUUCCUUCUGUGUUCACUACGCAGUACUUCAUGUGAGUCUCUUGAAGCAUUUCACAUGUUUGUUUCUUCUUAAGAGAUAUAGGUAAGUGUAUAAGCAUUGCAGAGAAAACAUAACAAAGGUUUGUAGAUACAUUCUGCAUGGCAAAAAGGUAAAUUAACGCAUGUUGAGCAAGGGGAUCCAGGAACGUCUACAUCCUAAAUAUAGCUCAAAUACCUUAAAAUGCUUCAUUUUUUUACACUUUUUAUUGUAUAAAUAGCUGAUAUUUUGCUCUUGCUGUAGAUUCUAAGCUGUGACAGAGCAUAUUCAAUAGUAACACUGUCAGAAGCUUAGAUUCAAUCUUAUUUAUGAAUCCUUGUAAAAAAGGUAAUAAUCAGUAAAUGUAGUUAAAUGCCAGAUUGCUUUUACAUGAUGACUCUCAGAGGUUUAAUCAGCAGUACUUAAAUUAAAGCUAAAAUACAACUGUAAGAAUGGUGUAAGCAUGACUAGUUUGCAGAUAGGCGUAUGACGCUUGUGCACGCUUACCUUAAUAGAUGGUUUGCUGGCGUCUUUAAUGCAUAUAGAGGGUGUUUUGCCUGUUCGCUUGGGCUAGCGAAACCCGUUCAGAUGACUCUGUCUCCAUGUCAGUGUUGUCUGUUAUCAUGGGGCUUUUGCUAGUAAGUGUUUGCUUUAAAGGAAGAAAGCUCUGCUUUUAGGGUCCAAAUAACUGUGAUUUGUGUUGCUGUGCAAUUUUUCUUCUUUUUUUUUUAAUUACAGACAUGAAUGCUCAGCAUAUGCAUUUUGUUAACCCAGAAGAGCCUCUAGAAACUUUUCUGCGUCAUUUUGCAAGAUGAGGAUUUUUGUUACUUUUGAGAGAUAUGGUGGAUCUUUGACAUUUCUUUAGACUAAGACUAGGCAAGAUACAAAACAUUAUAAAAGUAGGAGGAUAGCUACUUAUGCUUGGUUCUGUUUCCGAUGCUUGCUUUUUAUAUUUAGUUUUUGACGUAAGUACAGGUAAAGAUGCUGCCUGUUUAUUGUUUGAUCCUGAAAAGGUUUUUGUUGUUUAUUUUACGCUAUCUUAAUUCAAAUUUCUGUGAAAGCUUUCAGGGACUUUUCCUGUAUACUCAUGGAGAUAAAGGACAGGAUUUUUGCCUGGCAUCACUUGGCUCUCUUCCUAAUUUAGCGCUAAGAAAAUUAACAUCCCUCAUCUCUAAGCCAUGAUGCAGUAUCCUGUUUUCUGAAUUUCUAAUCAACUACUUGUCCUGCAAGAUCAAAAGUGCUUAGAAAUGGAAUGAGAAGAAAGACUACCACAUUCUGCAGGAAGUGUUCAAUGUCACCCGAGGUACAACACUUCCCCUGGAUGUGUGGGAUGGCUGGAAAGACUGCUUGACUGCAUGUCUCUUAGGAAACAAAGUACAGCAUUAUCUGC